AAACGGCUGCACUGUGGUAGACUGCACUUUUUGGGAUUGCUUUGUUUUAUUUGGCAUGGAGGGGGCUGCUGUGCAGCGAGGGGUGGGCAGGGGAAGGGAGCUGCUGAUUCACUGCAGCUGUUUAAACAACCCAAUCACCUCAUUCUCUCCUUUCCUUCCGAAAGCCCCACUCAGCAUUUUAAGGCCAGCCUGGGCUCCUGCUUGCUUUUGUUCUCCUGCCUCUGAAGGCUGUGGCAGCAGCAGAAGCAUGUUCUUGGCUUGUGUUUUCUGGAGCCAGGAUCCGCCCCUAGAUCCUGCAGCAACCAAAGCCUGGACCCAGAAUACACAUACAACACCAGCACUCCUGCUCACCUCACCCAGGCUUUCAUGGGCUCUAAUUCAGCAGCUGAAUGCAGACUAAGUUUAUGGCAAUAUCUGUGUUGGUUAUUGCUGGGGAAAUAGAAAGGUGAUCAGAGAGGACACCUCAGCAAAAACUCCUAGGAUUAAUCACAGUGCACCAGGAACAUUCCUGUCUUUUCCUGAGAAAAGGUUUAGCAGAAUAAUUUAAAUUUUGGUUUGGAAGCAAAAUAAAUUCUCAGGACCAGCAAGGGAAGUCAGCCUUCUGCAGGUAAUGCAAGAAGACUUGGCCUGCCAAAGGCUGGGGACUCUACACAUUUUUAUAAUCAACAUCUCCUGAGACCAAGAGGUAGUUUUGGUAUGUACAGUGUGGAGACACGCAGUGUGGAGCCCUAACCUAGAAGUCCAGGGAGGCAAACAAAAGGACUCAGAGAUAAAGUUUGGUAUGCACAGGACAAGUAAGAGCAGGGAUUGAGACUUAUUUACACAGUUCCUGUGUUCCUAUGAGGUAAAUUAUGUGACCUUAGGUUUGGUAGCUAUUAGGAAGAGUUGGGUAAUUUUGAGGCAUGAAAAAAAAAAGGAUUAAAUGAAUACAGAAGGCAUUCUGUGGUGUGGAGCACACAGAAAACAACCACAGCAUAUUUACAGAAACUCCAGUCUAGCAGAUCAUGUGCAGGGACUGGAUGGAGACAAAACACUAUCAAGAGAUGCUAAAAUGAGACUUCCUACGUGCGACUGUGGUUUGCGACUCACUUUCUCAAGUACUUGGCGUCUUUCCUUAUUGACAUGAGAAGGAAUGCAUGUAGAAGCUGAGCUCUGCAUGGGAAACUAGCGCAUAGCUUUGGGGCCUGGAAGAAUGCAGUUAUGUGCUGGAACCAAUCUCACACAUGGAAGACCUCUGGGAAGGAAGGCAGAAGCCAGGGAACAGUGGGAACAUGCUCAGCACUGCCUCUCCCUAAGGACUGCUGUCUGGAAUUUAAGUGACCAUUUUUCAAUAAAUUGUAAACUUUCCUUGUGGAUGAGAGUAGCAGCUAUUGUUUACCUUGAGCACAGAAAUGUUUUUGACACAGCCUCCCAUAAUACCUUUGUAGUCAAACUAGAGACAUUUUAAUUUGAAUAGGUGGACUCUGAAGUACGUAGAAAACAGGAUGUACCUCCAGGCUCAAAGGGUUGUGAGCGUUGCUACAUAUUUCAGCUGAUGCCUGAUAACUAGUGGUCCCUAAGGACCAAUACCGGGGAUAAUACUUUUUAAUGUCAAGUAUUGUCUAUGCUCAUGAUCUGGAUUUGGGGACAGAGUGCACCUUAGCAAGUUUGUGGGUAGUGCCAGACCUGGAAAAAGCAGUCAGUAUGCAAGAAGAUAGAGCUGUUAUGCAAACAGACACCAACAGGCCAGAAAAUGGUUUGAGGGAAACCUGAUGGGAUUUCAAGAAAGACAAAUUUGAAGUCCUGCAAAGGACAUAGCAGAAUCCCAUGCAGUAGUUGUGAGUACCUGGAGUGCCGUGUCUGUCUGGGGACCCCAGCACAA